UAAAACGUAGGAGGCGAGCGUUAUCCGGAUUUACUGGGCGUAAAGCGGGUGCAGGCGGCUUUUCAAGUCGGAUGUAAAAUCUCCCGGCUUAACUGGGAGGGACCAUUCGAUACUGUUGGGCUAGAGUGCAGCAGGGGGAGAUGGAAUUCCCGGUGUAGUGGUGACAUGCGUAGAUAUCGGGAGGAACGCCAGUGGCGAAGGCGGUCUCCUGGGCUGUUACUGACGCUGAGGCCCGAAAGCGUGGGGAGCAAACAGGAUUAGAUACCCUGGUAGUCCACGCCGUAAACGAUGGACACUAGGUAUGGGGAGUAUCGACCCUCUCUGUGCCGAAGCUAACGCAUUAAGUGUCCCGCCUGGGAACUACGGCCGCAAGGCUA
rnacentral:rRNA from 1 species